UACGUAGGGUGCGAGCGUUAAUCGGAAUUACUGGGCGUAAAGCGUGCGCAGGCGGUUUUGUAAGCCAGAUGUGAAAUCCCCGGGCUUAACCUGGGAAUGGCAUUUGGGACUGCAAGGCUUGAGUGCGGCAGAGGAGACUGGAAUUCCUGGUGUAGCAGUGAAAUGCGUGGAUAUCGAGAAGAACACUUAGGGCGAAGGCAAGACUCUGGACAAAUGCUGACGCUCAUGCACGAAGGCUAGGGUAGCGAACGGG
rnacentral:rRNA from 1 species